UUAAACUAACACAGCAGAAACUAAGAUUUCUGUGAAAAGAAAAAAGGUGGGGGUCAACUGAUCCCCCGUAGCUGUCCUGCAAUGUGGUGGAAUGAUCUGCUAAUUUAGCUUUUGUCCAUUUCGGUAGUUGUGCUAUA